rnacentral:rRNA from 1 species
AUUGAACGCUGGCGGCAGGCCUAACACAUUCAAGUCGAGCGCGCGGCGGCCGGGUGAGUAAUGUAUGGGGACUGCCCGAUAGAGGGGGAUCACUCCUGGAAACGGUGGCUAAUACCGCAUACUAUCGGAUAACCCAUAUGGGAUUCGCUAGUAGGUGGGGUAACGGCUCACCUAGGCGACGAUCGCUAGCUGGUCUGAGAGGAUGAUCAGCCACACUGGGACGGAGACACGGCCCAGACUCCUACGGAGGCAGCAGUGGGGAAUAUUGCACAAUGGGCGCAAGCCUGAUGCAGCCAUGCCGCGUGUAUGAAGAAGGCCUUAGGGUUGUAAAGUACUUUCAGCGGGGAGGCGUUACACGCAGAAGAAGCACCGGCUAACUCCGUGCCAGCAGCCGCGGUAAUAC